rnacentral:lncRNA from 1 species
AACCAGCAAGGCCAUAUGCUCCCCCUCCCCUACCUAAAACCCCAAAUAAAAACCCUUCCUUUUAGCUUUUUGGGGAGUUUGGGAUUUCAGCGUUAGCUGCCCUCUCUCCUUGCUCAGUGCUAUGCAAAAAUAAAAUUCCUGCUUUCUUCCACCACACCCAGUGUCAGGGAUUGGCUUGCUGCACAACGGGUUGGAUUAAAUUGUCUACAUGGAAUGGGGAGAGAGCUAUUGAGAGAAAAGCCUCAUGACAGGAAAGAUUUUCUUCGAAUAUCUGAUAAUAUUUGUGGGAGAGAGAAUUGAAGGAAUUCCACUAGUGAUGGCAGAAAGAAAGAGAAGAAUAUAUAGAUGAAAUGGAGCAGAAUGGAAUGAGUGAGUGUGGGAUAAAGAUGAAGUUUUAGUGGAGGACAGAAGAUGUGAAAGUGUUGUUACCAGACUAAAGUAUUUCAAUAAUGGGGUAGCACAUCCAUUAGAGGAGAAAAGGAAGUUUGGCUUGACAGAACUGUUGUUAAAAUGGGAAUGGACUCAAGUCUUAACAUGUUAUGGUGAGCAAAAGAGGGCCACCAAGAUGAAGUUGAGAGAGGAUCAUUUCUAACAUUCCAAGUGUGGAGUGGGGAACCUUAUCCAGAGCCUGAAGAGCCUGGGGUAGGAAGUUGGACAAUUCACGACACAGAGCUCAAGAGGUCUCACCUGGCAGAUGGUACCUCAUAGGGGAAACUUUCAGACGACUGGAAGUCAAUGACACAAGAGUCAUGGCAGAAUCAUUGUAGAGGCUCUGUCUACUCUCACGAGGGUCUAAUCAGUGACUGAGGAGGAAGGCCAGAUUCUUCAGUGAAGGAAACUAGCAAAGGUGAGGUCUCUAUAUAAGAGGUCUGAGGCCCCUACCCAAGAGAAAGUCCUGAUAUUAGCAGUUCCCUAAAGAGACCACAGAAAAGGAAUCAACAUGGAAGGACAUUCCUACACACUCGUUCCUGGCUAGCUAAGAGGAGACAGGAACUACUGAACAUCAUCUAAAAUCUGAGUGGGAUGCAGGAAAAAAAUGUCCAGCCCCAGCCUGAGCUCACUCUCAUUAUAAGCUGGAUCUCUUUGUGUGCUCAGAUUUGACCUAGGAAAUGGGCUGGGUCUGGGCCAAGAGAUGAGGCUUAUCCAUAAAUCUAGUUGUAAGAGCUGAGGAAGGCAAAGGUAGGUGAAGUGAGACAGCAAGCUAACAUCAGAAUUUUGACCUGCCGAGGGCAGGGCCAGAUGAAUCAAUGAUUCUUAAACUUUGCUUGCAUUGGAGUCCCCUGGGGAGCUUGUAAAACUACAGCUGCACAGAUCCCACACCCAAAGAUAUAGAUCUACCUGGGGUGAGAUCCAAGCAUAUUUAUCUACUUAAUGAACCUUUUCUUUUAGAACAGUUUUAGAUUUAUGGAAUUAAUGCAAAAAAUAGGACAGAGACUUCCUGUAUAUCCUACAUCUAGUUUCUCCUAUUAACACCUUACAAUAGGAUGGAACACUUGUGACAAUUAAUGAACUGAUCCUGAAACAUUACUAUUAGCUAAUGUCUAUACUUUAUUCAUAUUUCCU